CCUACGGGGGGCUGCAGUAAGGAAUAUUGGUCAAUGGAGGAAACUCUGACCCAGCCAUCCCGCGUGAAGGAUGAAGGGGCUCUGCCUUGUAAACUUCUUUUGUCUGGGGCGAAAAAGCUCGAUUUAUCGAGAACUGACGGUACCAGAAGAAUAAGCACCGGCUAACUCCGUGCCAGCAGCCGCGGUACUACGGAGGGUGCAAGCGUUAUCCGGAAUCACUGGGUUGAAGGGGUCCGUGGGCGGCUUAGGAGAAAGGCUGUGGCGUAACCAUGGAAUUGCCAUUGAUACUGCAGAGAGUGAAUGAGGUUGAGGGUGGCGGAAUGGGACAUGUAGCGGUGAAAUGCUUAGAUAUGUCAUGGAACACCGAUUGCGAAGGCAGCUGACUGGACCUAUAUUGACGCUGAGGCACGAAAGCGUGGGGAGCGAACAGGAUUAGAUACCCCGGUAGUC
rnacentral:rRNA from 1 species